UACGAAGGUGGCAAGCGUUGUUCGGAUUUACUGGGCGUACAGGGAGCGUAGGCGGUUGGAUAAGCCCUCCGUGAAAUCUCCAGGCUUAACCUGGAAAGUGCAGAGGGGACUGUUCAGCUAGAGGAUGGGAGAGGAGCGCGGAAUUCCCGGUGUAGCGGUGAAAUGCGUAGAGAUCAGCAGGAACACCCGUGGCGAAGGCGGCCCCCUGGGCCGAACCUGACGCUGAGGCGCGAAGGCUAGGGGAGCGAACGGG
rnacentral:rRNA from 1 species